AUUGAACGCUGGCGGCAUGCUUUACACAUGCAAGUCGAACGGUAGCAGGGAGCUUGCUCCGCUGGACGAGUGGCGAACGGGUGAGUAAUGCAUCGGAACGUACCCAGUCGUGGGGGAUAACGUAGCGAAAGUUACGCUAAUACCGCAUACGUCCUGAGGGAGAAAGCGGGGGGACCGAAAGGCCUCGCGCGAUUGGAGCGGCCGAUGUCGGAUUAGCUAGUUGGUAGGGUAAAGGCCUACCAAGGCGACGAUCCGUAGCGGGUCUGAGAGGAUGAUCCGCCACACUGGGACUGAGACACGGCCCAGACUCCUACGGGAGGCAGCAGUAGGGAAUAUUGGACAAUGGAGGCAACUCUGAUCCAGCCAUGCCGCGUGGAGGAUGACUGCCCUCUGGGUUGUAAACUCCUUUUGUACAGGAAGAAACCUCCUCAUUUAUGAGUGAGCUGACGGUACUGUAAGAAUAAAGCACCGGCUAACUCCGUGCCAGCACGCCGUAC
rnacentral:rRNA from 1 species